GACGAACCGAGCGAACGUUGUUCGGAAUCACUGGGCUUAAAGGGCGCGUAGGCGGGCUGUCACGUCUGGGGUGAAAUCCCACGGCUCAACCGUGGAACUGCCUUAGAUACUGACGGCCUCGAGGGAGAUAGGGGCGAGCGGAACUGUGAGUGGAGCGGUGAAAUGCGUUGAUAUUCACAGGAACUCCGGUGGCGAAGGCGGCUCGCUGGAUCUCUUCUGACGCUGAGGCGCGAAAGCGUGAGGAGCAAACAGG
rnacentral:rRNA from 1 species